GAUGAACGCUGGCGGCGUGCCUAAUACAUGCAAGUCGAGCGGCAGCACGGUCUUCGGACUGGUGGCGAGCGGCGGACGGCAGAGUAACGCGUAGGAACAUGCCCCAAAGUGAGGAAUAACUGCCCGAAAGGGUGGCUACUGCCGCAUAUGCCCUUCGGAGUAAAGCUUUAUGCGCUUUGGGAGUGGCCUGCGUCUGAUUAGCUUGUUGGUAACGGCCUACCAAGGCAUCGACGGGUAGCUGGUCUGAGAGGAUGAUCAGCCACACUGGGACUGAGACACGGCCCAGACUCCUACGGGAGGCAGCAGUGGGGAAUCUUGCGCAAUGGGCGAAAGCCUGACGCAGCAACGCCGCGUGCGGGAAGAAGGCCCUCGGGUUGUAAACCGCUUUCAGCAGGAAAGAAAAUGACGGUACCUGCAGAAGAAGGUGCGGCCAACUACGUGCCAGCCGCCGCCGUAA
rnacentral:rRNA from 1 species